UGCUAGAUGAGAGAGUUGAAAGAACAUUAGGCUGUAUUUAAACCUACGCUGCAGCAGUACAUGUCCACCGGAGGCAGUGGCCUAGACCACAGGACAUUCCCAGGCUACCGUAGGUCACUUAUUCACCCUUAGUCCUCUCUACUGUGGCUACACUGACCUUCUCCCUCCUUUUCUCCAUCAUCCCUCCUAUUCACAUUCUUGUCUUUUCCUUAGGUAUCCCUCCAUCCAAUCUCUACUGUAGAGUGCGUCCCCUGUCGGCUCAGAUGAUAAUCUGCUUCAUGGCGCAUGUGUCAGGGGGAAAGAAUGCUAAUCUGGAAGAGAUGCGGACUGCGAAGUCGGGGCUUUCUUGGCUGCCAGUUUCCACUGCGCACUACUUUCCAUGUGGAGCCGCUCCGGAGUGGCUGAAGCAGAAGGAAUUCCCGGCCGAGGGAGCCGAGGUGUUGACAGAUUCCAGAUCGCUCAUCAGGACACGCCUCCCACAUUAAAGGUCAAUCAUGUUACAAGAGUGAAAUACAGCAUUCCGGUAUUGCUCAAUAGUCCCACAGAGGGAGGAGAAAGUGGUCUGG
ensembl:lncRNA